UUGUCUCAAAGAUUAAGCCAUGCAUGUCUCAGUACAAGCCAAAUUAAGGUGAAACCGCGAAAGGCUCAUUAAAUCAGUUAUGGUUCCUUAGAUCGUACCCACAUUUACUUGGAUAACUGUGGUAAUUCUAGAGCUAAUACAUGCAAACAGAGCUCCGACCGGAGACGGAAGGAGCGCUUUUAUUAGAUCAAAACCAAUCGGUGGCGUUUACGUCAUCGUACAACUUGGUGACUCUGAAUAACUUUACGCUGAUCGCACGGUCUCGCACCGGCGACGCAUCUUUCAAAUGUCUGCCUUAUCAACUGUCGAUGGUAGGUUCUGCGCCUACCAUGGUUGUAACGGGUAACGGGGAAUCAGGGUUCGAUUCCGGAGAGGGAGCCUGAGAAACGGCUACCACAUCCAAGGAAGGCAGCAGGCGCGCAAAUUACCCACUCCCGGCACGGGGAGGUAGUGACGAAAAAUAACGAUACGGGACUCAUCCGAGGCCCCGUAAUCGGAAUGAGUACACUCUAAACCCUUUAACGAGGAUCAAUUGGAGGGCAAGUCUGGUGCCAGCAGCCGCGGUAAUUCCAGCUCCAAUAGCGUAUAUUAAAGUUGUUGCGGUUAAAAAGCUCGUAGUCGAAUCUGUGUCCCGCGCCGCCGGUUCAUCGUUCGCGGUGUUAACUGGCGUGCCGCGGGACGUCCUGCCGGUGGGCUUAGCUCGCGAGGGCGGCCCAACUCAAUCCCGCCGCGGUGCUCUUCAUUGAGUGUCGAGGUGGGCCGGCACGUUUACUUUGAACAAAUUAGAGUGCUUAAAGCAGGCUAAAACUUCGCCUGAAUACUGUGUGCAUGGAAUAAUGGAAUAGGACCUCGGUUCUAUUUUGUUGGUUUUCGGAACCCCGAGGUAAUGAUUAAUAGGAACGGAUGGGGGCAUUCGUAUUGCGACGUUAGAGGUGAAAUUCUUGGAUCG
rnacentral:rRNA from 1 species